UACAUGUGGUGCAAGCGUUGUUCGGAAUUACUGGGCAUAAAGGGUGCGUAGGCGGUGUCGUCAGUCUGGGGUGAAAUCCUGCGGCCCAACCGUGGGACUGCCUCGGAUACUGCGAUGCUUGAGUGCGUGAGGGGUGAUCGGAACGCGUGGUGUAGCGGUGAAAUGCGUAGAUAUCACGCGGAAGGCCAACGGCGAAGGCAGAUCACUGGUACGCAACUGACGCUGAGUGCACGAAAGCGUGGGGAGCAAACAGGAUUAGAAACCCUAGUAGU
rnacentral:rRNA from 1 species